rnacentral:rRNA from 1 species
AUUGAACGCUGGCGGCAGGCCUAACACAUGCAAGUCGAGCGAGAGGCGGACGGGUGAGUAAUGUAUGGGGAACUGCCCGAUAGAGGGGGAUAACUACUGGAAACGGUGGCUAAUAACGCAUAAUAUCGGAUGGACCCAUAUGGGAUUAUCUAGUAGGUGGGGUAAAGGCUCACCUAGGCGACGAUCCCUAGCUGGUCUGAGAGGAUGAACAGCCACACUGGAACGUAGAAACGGUCCAGAGUCCUACGGGAGGCAGCAGGGGGGAAUAUGGCACAAUGGGCGCAAGCCUGAUGCAGCCAUGCCGCGUGUAUGAAGAAGGCCUUAGGGUUGUAAAGUACUUUCAGCGAGGAGGCGUUACCCGCAGAAGAAGCACCGGCUAACUCCGUGCCAGCAGCCGCGGUAAUUC